CCGUCAAUUCAUUUGAGUUUCACCCUUGCGAGCAUACUCCCCAGGCGGUGCACUUAUCGCGUUGACUUCGGCACAGAGCACCGACGUGCCCCACGCCUAGUGCACAUCGUUUACAGCGUGGACUACCAGGGUAUCUAAUCCUGUUUGCUCCCCACGCUUUCGCGCCUCAGCGUCAGUCCUCGAAUAGAAGCUCGCCUUCGCCACCGGUGUUCUUCCUGAUCUCUACAGAUUUCACUCCUACACCAGGAAUUCCAGCUUCCCCCCCGGAACUCUAGCCCGUCAGUUUCCAGCGCACCCGCAGGGUUAAGCCCUGCGAUUUCACACCAGACUUCUCGGGCCGCCUACACGCCCUUUACGCCCAAUAACUCCGAACAACGCUCGCCCCAUACGUAUUACCGCGGCUGCUGGCACGUAAUUGGCCGGGGCUUAUUCGCAGGCUAACGUCAUCAGCGGGGCUUUCCACUCCCCACCUUAUUCUUCACCUGCAAAAGGACUUUACAACCUUACGGCCUUCAUCGUCCACGCGGCGUCGCUCCGUCAGGGUUGCCCCCAUUGCGGAAGAUUCUUAGCUGCUGCCUCCCGUAGGAGU
rnacentral:rRNA from 1 species